GCGACAAAGUGAACAUAUUUGGGCAGAAGUAUUGGGACGCCUCUACACGAGGGGGAAAAAGUGGGGUUCAAAUGUGGACAUUUGACCAAAGUAUUGGGACACCUCUGGGAAGUGAAAACCCGAGGAGGCGGAGGUGGAGUUACGUCACCCGGGAGCCGUGAUUCACAUCCCAUCCUGCUCCUUCCCGGGCAAUCUGUCCCUCGGAGGAUGCUUUUCGAAACCGAGCCUUGUUGCCUUCUUUACAUCUCUUCACCGGCAAGGUGCCGACGGUUGGAAUUGCUCCAAUAAUGAGCAGGAAGCUUUUGAGACAUCAGCUGAACCGUUGAUUUCAGCCUCCUGUCAUUAAACCCCGAGCAGCACCUCCCACCUCCCUUUCACGACGCAAUGAUGGAUGGAUGGAUGGAUGAGGAGCAAAAGACAUUCGUCAGCGGCGGCUUUCGUGGCGAGCAAACUUUCUCCCGAUGAUCGAAAUGCAUUCGUCAACGGGGUGGGGUGGGGAGAGGGGAUUUCUCCCCAUCGAAGAACAUUUGUCACACGGAGUUGCCGCGCGAAGGCCCACGUCCGAAUGCGCCACUGGAUUCCUAAGAGAAGAGUGUGGUAACUUGUGACCCCCGACCUAGAACGAGUCCGGGCGGGAGGACCCCAGGCUCAGUCGGGGGCUGUCGAGGAGUCGCAGCGAUACGAGGCUGAAGUAACGCCAACCAUUGGAGGACGGCGCGGUGCAUCAGAACACGCUCUGCUUUUAUUUGAUCGUCUUGAUUAUUGCAUUCUUAAUUGAUUUAUUAUGGCAAAAACCAGGGAUUUCUUUUCUUUUCCAGAGGUGGAUAUUCUGCCAUAGUUUCAGCAAAGGUCCUGAAGCCCAUGGUAACCGCUCAACACAAGGCGUGGCGGUUCCUUGGAUAUCAAAUUAGAGCUGUGGCCCAAUGGUUAAUUAAGAUCGUCGCCUGCCACCGUGGGGGACCUAGGUUGAAGACCCCGACCGGACCGUCCGCCCACAGCUGCGGUGUCCUUGAGCAAGACAAGACCGAUACCCCGAAACGCUCCCCGGGCGCUUCAGCUGCCCCCUGCUCCAGUGUGUUCCACUAACACAAUGCAUCUCCUCUGCCAUUGAUGAUUGCACGCAGGCACGCACUUCCGUGGGUGGGUGCUGUAAUCAGCGGAUAGGCUGCGGCUGUUUAAGAGGAGCCAGAUGUUGCAAGAUGUUGGAGGAGCUUCAGGCUGUUUGGCUUUGCCUCUUUCGUCCCCGUUGUUUCCGUCUCUGGCCUCAACCCCCGUCUAACGCUUCCUAAUCAGCUCCACCGCUGAGGAGCAAGGGCAGGCAGCUGCUUCAUGUGAUGGAUGAAGACGCCCGGGAGGAGGAAGGCGUGUCUGCGCUGGCGGCGGGCGAUAAUGCCGUGAAAAAGACGGCGCCAAUGUGUCACACGUGCAUUUUUGUCCUGCGGAGUGAUGUCUUGAAGUGCGCUAGCCGGCGACUCAAAUGGACUCUGGUGCUGACUGACUGCCUCGCACAAAGGAAUUUUGUGAGAGGCCGUCUUUACCAUUAGCGCUGUAACAACACCAACAACUUUCCAGAAGUCCGGAAGAACGAUUCCUUUUCGGGACACAGCUACCACUUCCUGGAUGAGAUAUCGAGCCGCUGGAGAUGUUCCUGGAAGCUUCUGCUGGUUCUUGUCCCGUCUAACAGCAAAGUGCGCAGGCCUUGGCCACCUGGGGGCAGCAUACUACAGACAAACAGAUCUACGUGGAGCCGGUCUCAGCUCCUCACUCCUCCGUCUCCUUGUGGCUCUGCCAAGUAGACGGAUGACGAUGCGUCCAGCAGUCAUUCGUCCACCGCAGGCGUGAAAAAGUACAAAGAAUUUCUAGGCGCAGCCGAGGUGUUGAGGGGGUCCCGUUUGUUGGCCUGAGCACUGCGUAACUGCUUUUUGCAGAUGAUGUGGUUCUGACGGCUUCAUGGAACUUGUGAUCUUCAACCCGACGGUGAAGCGGCCGGGAUGAAAAUGAACACCAAAAUGAAGAGAUCCUGCCCCAAGUGGAGGAGUUCAAGGGUCUCGGGGUGCGGGAAGAAUGGAGCGGGAAAUUGACAGCGUCAGUCGGUCGUGGUGAAUAUUCGAUUUACCGGUCAAUCUACGUUCCUUCCCUCAGCCGUGGUCACGAGCUGUGGGUCGUGACCAAAAGAACAAGAUCGUGACCGAAAUGAGCUUCCUCCGCAGGGUGUAUGGGCUUUCCCUGCGAGAAUAGGGUGAGAAUCUCGUUCAUCGUCGAGCCGCUGCUCCUCCGCAUCGAGAGGAGCCAGAUGAGGUGGCUCGGGCAUUUGAGUAGGACGCAACCUGGACGCGCUGCUUAAGCUGCUGCCCCUGUGACCCGACCGACCCCGGAUAAGUGGAAGAAAACGGCUGCAUGGAUAGACAUGAAAUUUAGCAGAUACGUCAAUCAUGAAUAGACCCAAUAAAGACAAGGGAAGUCUGCCAUUUUGGUUUGAAGCGGCCAUAUUAAGACCCUUUUCAAAGACCAACUGUGUCUGGAGAUUUGUCCGAGAGCAACCACAUUUGAAAGCCGUUUAGCAGACACAAAUGCAGAACACUAAAUUGCAGCAAAAUGUGAAAUUUGGUAGAAAUGUCUAUCACGAGUCACGCACAAAGAAGUGUCGAGAAGCUAUGCCUGAAGACACGAGCGGUCUGCCAUUUUCAGAGUCAUGGUUCCUGAAACUCUGCACACUUUCAUUGAGUCCCCGGUUUCUCUCGCUCUUUUCCUGUAUAUUCCUUCUGAAGGAGAACUUGUCGGAGGUGUUAGGUCUCGUCACACAUCUGCUCCUCCUCUUCAGCACAUCUGAUGAGUGAGAUGAGUCACGGUUAGCGGAGGAUGCCGUUAUGAAGCGAUCGUCCCCGCUAAUGAAGCAAGCGUCCCCGCUGUUGUCGCCGUCCACCGGUGCCAGGUCCUGGGUCGCUUUAAUCGGCCUGUCCGAUUUUCCCCAGUCCGCUUUCAAUUAUGACGCGCUAAACGCUAGCGUCGGCGUGCCCGGGGAGGAAAUCAAACCGUGUACAAACCGCGGCAGCUUGCCACUGAAAAUCAAAUCUGGCAUCACAGACGGGCCGCAGUGCAGCCAGGGGUUGUGAAGCGGGUCGAGCUGUGUUUAGCGGGCUAAUUUUAGCCACAAGGCGCACUUGGAAACGGGAAGAAGAUGGUGGAGUGGGAGUUAUCACGUGGGUAUGGAGCGCUGAUGAAAGGGAGGUCAAUUCAUAACUUAACAUCGUUAUUUUUGCAUUCACUCCAAUUUGACAAUCGAAAUUUCACUAUGAAGGCUAGUAAUAAAAUUGUGCAAUUACCUCAUUUACUGCUGUGGACAGAUCUAUUUGUCAACUGCAUUGCAACUGUUUACUGCCACCUGACGAUGGAGAUAUGAUAUUUCGCCGAUGCAUCAAAAUUCCCACACACUGAAAAUCAAGUCUGGCGUCACGGGCGGGCCGGAGCCCAGAGCGCCGCAGAGCGUGCUAAUUUAGCCUCGCUGCCCCGCACUUGAAAACGGAAAGAAGAUGGUGAGCGGUCCAGCCGUCGUCGCCGCAUGGGCACGGAGAGGAGAUGAAGAAGAGGAAGGUGAAGGUGGCACCGUGUCGUUUAUUGAAGAUGAAUAUGUUACAUGCGACGCACUCUCGGGUUCAUCGUUCGGAUGGCACUGUGCAGUGAGUGUGAGAGUGUGUGUUUCCUGAAGGUGCUUAUUUUCCUCAAAGCGGCGCUCGUCACAACGAUCUAACGCCACACUGCCAUCUAUGGGCGGCCUGUUGCACUUGUUCAGGAAAAGGCAGCUUUUGGUUUGACUGGCUCUACUUUGCCAUCAAAGCAAAAUACUUGUUCAUAAAAAUUCUAUAUUAGGCAGACAAAUGUUACAUUUUUGCCUCAAAACCACGAGCUCUUGACACUAAAACAGUCCUUUUUAUUCCACAUAAGGCUACAGUAUAUUGAGCCAUGAAAACAAGACUACAUUUGGCAAUUCAAAUGAUAUAUUUGCUACAGCAGGUGUAGUGAUGUUACAUUUUGCUUCAAAACACUCCACUUUGACAUGUUUAACAAUUUGACACUAUAGUUUGCCAUGAGAAGCAUAGAAAUGUCUCAAAAUACACUAGUUCUCCACAUAAAUAAAUACUACCUUGCCAUUCAAACAUAUUUGCUCACAAAAGGUUAUACUACGUUUGCCUCAAAACAAUUUAAUUUUGACAUUUUAGACCGUAUAAUUUGCCAUGAGAAGGAUAGAAAUGUGUUCUAACAGGCUACUUCCUCAUAUCAAUGUAAUAUGUUACCAUUAAAACAAUAUUUGCUCACAAAAAAAUGUUGUGUGUGCAACACAAUGUUGUUGUUUGGCCUCGAAACCAUUACAUUUCUACAUCGACACUAUAUUUUACCUCGAGGAGGUCAGAAAUGUGUAUAUUUUGGCACAAAACCAAAAAAUUGAAAAACAUCAUUUUGCCCAAAUAGCAUUAAAUAUCGUCACAGGAAAAUGAUUACGUUUGGCCUGGAAAGCUUUGACUUUUCGCACAGAAAUACAAAAUGGUGCCGUUGGGUGACAUUAGGCUAUAAAAAUGUUGUUUGCCUCACAAAAGUAGUUAUUCAGGAGAAGGCUACUUUAGGCCACAAAAACAUUUUUGGAUUUAAAAGCCACGUUUUUGCCACGAAAAGAAUAUACAUUUGUUAAACAGGCUGGUCUGACCAGAACAAAGAGGUCAGAGCAUAUGACUCCAAUUCCAAAGUCUUUACACUGGCUUCCAGUCAGCUUGAGAAUAGAUUGUAAAGUUCUGCUACUGGUCUAUAAAUCACUAAACGGUUUAGGUCCUGAACACAUGAAUGGAAUGCUAAUGGAAUAUGAAGGCAGUAGGGCUCUGAGAUGGACAGACUCGGGUCAAAUAGCGGAGCACAGGGUCCAACGCAAACACGGUGAAGCAGCAUUUGGCGAUUAUGCGGCACGCAAAUGGAAGACGUUGCCAACAGAAGUGACGUCAGCCCCAAGUGGGAAUGUGUUGAA